rnacentral:misc_RNA from 1 species
UGAUCAGGCAAUACAAGAAUAGCAAAG